GUCCACGCCCUAAACGAUGUCAACUGGUUGUUGGGAAUUCACUUUCUCAGUAACGAAGCUAACGCGUGAAGUUGACCGCCUGGGGAGUACGGCCGCAAGGUUAAAACUCAAAGGAAUUGACGGGGACCCGCACAAGCGGUGGAUGAUGUGGUUUAAUUCGAUGCAACGCGAAAACCUUACCCACCUUUGACAUGUAUGGAAGGCCGCAGAGACGCGGUUGUGCCCGAAAGGGAGCCAUAACACAGGUGCUGCAUGGCUGUCGU
rnacentral:rRNA from 1 species